UAGAGUUUGAUCAUGGCUCAGGAUGAACGCUAGCGGCAGGCUUAACACAUGCAAGUCGAAGGGCAUCGCGGGGAGUGCUUGCACUCCCUGGCGGCGACUGGCGCACGGGUGAGUAACACGUAUGCAACCUGCCCUCCACAGGGGGACAACCUUCCGAAAGGGAGGCUAAUCCCGCGUAAAUCUCGAUGGGGCAUCCCAUUGAGAGGAAAGCUUCGGCGGUGGAGGAUGGGCAUGCGGCGCAUUAGCUAGUCGGCGGGGUAACGGCCCACCGAGGCGACGAUGCGUAGGGGUUCUGAGAGGAAGGUCCCCCACACUGGUACUGAGACACGGACCAGACUCCUACGGGAGGCAGCAGUGAGGAAUAUUGGUCAAUGGGAGAGAUCCUGAACCAGCCAAGCCGCGUGAGGGAAGACGGCCCUAUGGGUUGUAAACCUCUUUUGUCGGAGAACAAAACCCGGGACGUGUCCCGGACUGCGUGUAUCCGAAGAAAAAGCAUCGGCUAACUCCGUGCCAGCAGCCGCGGUAAUACGGAGGAUGCGAGCGUUAUCCGGAUUUAUUGGGUUUAAAGGGUGCGCAGGCGGAAGAUCAAGUCAGCGGUAAAAUUGAGAGGCUCAACCUCUUCGAGCCGUUGAAACUGGUUUUCUUGAGUGAGCGAGAAGUAUGCGGAAUGCGUGGUGUAGCGGUGAAAUGCAUAGAUAUCACGCAGAGCUCCGAUUGCGAAGGCAGCAUACCGGCGCUCAACUGACGCUCAUGCACGAAAGUGUGGGUAUCGAACAGGAUUAGAUACCCUGGUAGUCCACACAGUAAACGAUGAAUACUAAUUGUUCGGGGAGAAUGAUCCCUGAGUGAUACAGCGAAAGCGUUAAGUAUUCCACCUGGGGAGUACGCCGGCAACGGUGAAACUCAAAGGAAUUGACGGGGGCCCGCACAAGCGGAGGAACAUGUGGUUUAAUUCGAUGAUACGCGAGGAACCUUACCCGGGCUCAAACGACACAGGAAUACUUUUGAAAGGAGGUAGCUCUACGGAGUCUGUGUCGAGGUGCUGCAUGGUUGUCGUCAGCUCGUGCCGUGAGGUGUCGGCUUAAGUGCCAUAACGAGCGCAACCCCCAUCGCCAGUUACCAGCAAGUCAAGUUGGGGACUCUGGCGAGACUGCCGGCGCAAGCUGUGAGGAAGGCGGGGAUGACGUCAAAUCAGCACGGCCCUUACGUCCGGGGCGACACACGUGUUACAAUGGCAGGUACAGAGAGAAGCAAUGCGGCGACGCAAAGCGGAACUUGAAAGCCUGUCUCAGUUCGGAUUGGAGUCUGCAACUCGACUCCAUGAAGCUGGAUUCGCUAGUAAUCGCGCAUCAGCCAUGGCGCGGUGAAUACGUUCCCGGGCCUUGUACACACCGCCCGUCAAGCCAUGGAAGCCGGGAGUGCCUGAAGUGAGCAACCGCAAGGAGCGCCCUAAGGUAAAACUGGUGACUGGGGCUAAGUCGUAACAAGGUAACCGUA
rnacentral:rRNA from 1 species